AUGGCCGGGGCGGGGUUCGCGCUCGCGCGGUCAAAGCCUCCACUCGACCAUCUCCUUCCUCCUUGCUUGGUCGCCAUGGCCACCAUCCUCACAAGAUCCAGCCCGUCUCCUCCACGUCCGCCGAGUGGACGUUCCGGCGGACCCGGUCGGCGCCGUCGCUCGCCGCCGAGUUCGCGGGUGGCCCGCUCAAGCGCUGGUGGGACUGGGGCCACGGCUGGCUGCGGCUUCGCCGGCGACCUGAAGAUGAUCGAGGAGGAGGCGGUCGCGCUCGGUCGGGGCACCUGGGCCCACUUCCUCUACAAGGUGUGCUCCGGGGUCCGCCGCCUCGUCGCGUCCGACCACCCGCUGCCCACCACGCAGUGCCUCAGGGGCGCCUCGCUGCCCCCGUUCCGGCGUUCCGGCGGACGGGCGGUGGUGCCGAGCAGGCCGACGCGGCGGGACGAGCUGAAGGGCGCGCGGGACAAGAAGCAAGGGCGCGGGACGAGCUGCAGGGGCGGGGUGCGCGGGUCGAGCUGCAGGCGCGCGCGGCGGCCGUGUGAGUUGCCGCCGAGCUCGCGCAGCUCCGGGUCGCCUCCAAGCUCGCGUUGCCGCCGCUGCAGUCCACCUUUGGGUUGUCUCCAAGCUCGCGCCGACAGGGAGGGAGGGGAGCACGCUGGACGGCGGCGAGCGGCGUCUUGGUGA
rnacentral:rRNA from 1 species